UUAAGAAUUUUAACUUAAAGUAAGACCUGCUCAAUGAUAUUUAAAUAGCCGCAGUUCAACUGUGCUAAGGUAGCAUAAUAACUUGCUUCUUAAUUAGAAGAUAGAAUGAAAGGUUACACACUAAAAUUAUGUUUCUUUUAUACUAAAUUAAAUUAAAACAAAAGUCAAAAUCCUUUUAAAUAUAUAGCGGGACGACAAGACCCUAACAAACUUAUUAUUUAGUUGGGGAAACAAAUUAAAAAAACUUUAACUCAAUAAAUUACACAACUUUAAGAUUAAAUAAAGUCUAGUUACUGUAGGGAUAACAGCGUUAUUUCUUUUAAGAGACCCUAUCUAAAAAGAAGAUUACGACCUCGAUGUUGAAUUAAUCAACCUAUAAUACGCAACAGUUUAUAAUAAGGUAGUCUGUUCGACUAUUAAAUGAUU
rnacentral:rRNA from 1 species